GAUGAACGCUGGCGGCGUGCCUAAUACAUGCAAGUCGAGCGAACGGACGAGAAGCUUGCUUCUCUGAUGUUAGCGGCGGACGGGUGAGUAACACGUGGAUAACCUACCUAUAAGACUGGGAUAACUUCGGGAAACCGGAGCUAAUACCGGAUAAUAUUUUGAACCGCAUGGUUCAAAAGUGAAAGACGGUCUUGCUGUCACUUAUAGAUGGAUCCGCGCUGCAUUAGCUAGUUGGUAAGGUAACGGCUUACCAAGGCAACGAUGCAUAGCCGACCUGAGAGGGUGAUCGGCCACACUAGAACUGAGACACGGUCCAGACUCCUACGGGAGGCAGCAGUAGGGAAUCGUCCGCAAUGGGCGAAGGCCUGACGGAGCAACGCCGCGUGAGUGAUGAAGGUCUUCGGAUCGUAAAACUCUGUUAUUAGGGAAGAACAUAUGUGUAAGUAACUGUGCACAUCUUGACGGUACCUAAUCAGAAAGCCACGGCUAACUACGUG
rnacentral:rRNA from 1 species